rnacentral:rRNA from 1 species
GACGGAGGGUGCAAGCGUUGUUCGGAAUCACUGGGCGUAAAGCGCGUGUAGGCGGUCCGAUAAGUCGAAUGUGAAAGCCCGAGGCUCAACCUCGGAAGUGCAUUCGAAACUGUCGGGCUUGAGUACGGGAGAGGGAAGUGGAAUUCCUGGUGUAGAGGUGAAAUUCGUAGAUAUCAGGAGGAACACCGGUGGCGAAGGCGGCUUCCUGGACCGAUACUGACGCUGAGACGCGAAAGCGUGGGGAGCAAACAGG